rnacentral:lncRNA from 1 species
CUCAGGCUGGAGUGCAGUGGCAUAAUCUCGGCUCAUUGCAAGCUCUGCCUCCCAGGUUCAAGCGAUUCUCCUGCCUCAGCCUUGCAAGUAGCUGGGACUACAGGCGCCCACCACCACCCCCAGCUAAUUUUUUGUAUUUUUAGUAGAGACGGGGUUUCACCAUGUUAGCCAGGAUGGUCUUGAUCUCCUGGCCUCGUGAUCCGCCCGCCUCGGCCUCCCAAAGUGCUGGGAUUACAGGCUUGAGCCACCGUGCCUGGCCACUUUUUGUAUUUUUAGUAGAGACAGGGUGUCACCAUGUUUGCCAAACUGGUCUUGAACUCCGAACCUCAGGUGAUCCCCCCGCCUCCCAAAGUGCUGUGAUUAUAGACGUGAGUUACUGCACCCGGCCUAUUUCAGUGGUUUUAAAAAAUUAUUGAAUGUCAAACUAUUUGAAAAAAAAAAAAAAAAAACUCUUGAGUAUCCCUGCAUUGCUGGGCUCUGAAUUUGACAAGGGAACAGGUCUGAGACAGUCAGCCAGGAGAGGCAGGCAGGUGGUCGGAAUUUCAUGUGCAAAGGCCCAGAGGCAAGAGAAAAAAUGAUGACUCAUUGGGGAAAAAGGACAUCCUUUGAUGAGGGCUGGUGAGUGGGAAGAGGUGGAGAUGGAAGAUUGGACUGGAUUCUAGGGGUGCUGGGGAGGCAUGGAAGAGUUUUAACAGAGAUGUGUCACAAUCAAAUGUCCGUUUUGCAGGAUCACUCUGAAUAUAUGUAUCUAUUUUUUGAAAUGGAGUCUGGCUCUGUCGCCCAGGCUGGAGUGCAGUGGCACGAUCUCGGCUCACUGCAAUCUCCAUUUCCCGGGUUCAAGCGAUUCUCCUGCCUCAGCCUUCUGAGUAACUGGGACUAUAGAAAAAUGUUCCUGUACACGCACCCGGAGGCUUUUGCAGGAGGCGGCUGUUGGAGAACUGGGAAAACAAGCCAAGAAACAAGAGAGAGGAAAAAGACCACGCCUCGCCUGGCAGAUUCCUAAUGGCCCAGGAGACCUGAAGCUUUACAGUGGGAGGCCGGUGGGGGCCGGCUCGGGUGGGAGGGAAGGGCAGGCCGAAGGAAGGACAGCCACUUGCUGGCUGGUGACCUUGGGCGGGAUACUGCCUGCUUCCCUCUGGUGAGAAUGGGGAGGAGGGAGUCAGGGGCAGGCCUGGCCGGCUGAGGUCACAGGAAGGCCCCUUCCAGCCUGAAACGCGAUCUCGGGAUGUGGGGCCUGCCAACCUGCAGCGACCCUGGGCCAGCAGAGAUGAAAGGCUGCCUGUCCCCAGCUUCCGGACCCCCAAGGCCCCACUACCUCAAACUUGGAGAGCAGCAGAGCUGUGUUGCCACCGGCUAGAGCCAGCUGCUGGGCUCCCCACCCCACCUUAUGUCAUCCAACCCUCCCUUCCCUGUUUUGCAGAGGACUCUCAGGCCCAGAGAGGGUGGUGACCUGCCUGAGGUCACACAGCAAGUGGGAGGUUGAGCCAAGGCUCACCACAGUCUUUGGACUCCAAGUCCAGGCCUCCUGCCUUUCCCAGAAACUUGGCUGCCUGGGGGGCUUACCCUGGGGAGUUGGAGAGCUGAGGAGGACACUUAGGAGCUGUGUCUGUUUGAAGUCACAACUUAAUGUUGACUAAAGUGCUUUUUUUCUUAAAGACAAAAAGAAAAUUCCCAGCCCCUGUCAUAAGCCUGGACUUGCUCGCUGGCAGGGGAAGGAAUGCAGCUCUGGCCACCACAGCUGCUGGUGGCCAGCUGCAGCCUCAGCCUCUGCUGCUCCCGCCCCAGCCGGCAAAGGGACAAAGGCCUCUUCUCAGGCCUGUCCUCUCCAGCCCCUUGGAUCAGCUGGCAGAACAUUGACGAGCACCUCCUCUGUCACAGACCUGCUAAGUCAUUGUUCCUCUCUGGGCCUUAGUGCCCUUUCUGUAAAAUGGGGGCACAGUAUCUGCCUGAUCUACUUCUCAGCACUGUUUUGAGGCUCCAAGUAAACUUCUGGAAAUACAAAGCUCUCAGCGCUUCCUUCCACCCGCUGGUCUGCCUUCUCACUGUGCCCUCUGCCUGGAAUGCCCCUCUGUCCCUCAUGCUUUCCCUGGCCAGCCCCAACUCACUUAGCUCAGCUCAGUGGGACCAUCGUCUGCUCUGAGACCUUCCCUUACCUCCAGCUGGAGGCACCUUCAGAAGAAGAAAGACGGCAGUGCUGUAUUUAUCAUGGUUGUACAUAAUUAAAUAAUUGGCCGGUGUGGUGCCGCAGGCCUGUAAUCCCAACACUUUGGGAGGCUGAGGUGGGAAGAUUACUUGAAACCAGGUGUUCAAGACCAGCCUGGGCAACAUGGCAAAACCCUGUCUCUACAAAAAAUAAAUUAGCCAAGCAUGGUGGCA